rnacentral:lncRNA from 14 species
CCACAUUCAGAAAUUAUUUUAAUACUUCAGAAUUUCAAGAAGUCCGGUGUUGGGAAUGAUUUUUAUAGAGUUUCAAUGUGAAAAGAAGUCAUAGCUACAUGUUGUGCUUCUGAAGG